rnacentral:sRNA from 1 species
CAGAGCUCAUCAGUGGCAGGGCUGGGAUGUAAACCCAAGCCAUCUGGCUGCAGAGCCCGGGCCCCUCUCCACUAUGCUCGGCUGCCCCCCUCUCCCAGAGGGAGCGUUGACUUCAGUCAACUGAGCAGGAGAUCCAAGUCAGGCUCCUCACGGUCCUGUUGCAACAGUCGAACAUCAGCGAGAUUAAUCACCAGGACAAUGAGUGAGUUCAGGUGAUCUGCCACCCUGGCCUCCCAAAGUGCUGAGAUUACAGGGAAUGACACCACUCCACUGGGCGGCUUUCCACAACCAGCCUCAACACACACAAAUGCUGCUGAAGAAGGGGGCAGACCCCUCCCUUGUGGAUAAAGACUUUAAAACCGCUCUCCACUGGGCAGUCCAGGACACCUCUGCACUGGGCUGCAGCUGCAGGGAAGGCCGAAUGUGUCCAGUCACUGCUGGAGUUGGGAAUGGACAGCAACCUGCGGGACAUCAAUGAGAGCACACCCUUGGCCUAUGCCCUGUACUGCGGUCACACGGCGUGUGUCAAACUCCUCUCCCAAGAGAGCAGGCUGGAGUGCAAUGGCAUGAUCUCGGCUCACCGAAACCUCUGCCUCCCAGGUUCAAGCGAUUCUCCUGUCUCAGCCUCCAGAGUGGCUGGGAUUACAGAACAGAGCCUACUCGACCCCCUCCCUCCCAGAGCAGUCGGCCCCAGAAGAAGGAGAGACGGUUCAACAUGCUCAACCAAAUAUUCUGCAAAAACAAGAAAGAAGAGCAGAGAGCCCAUCAGAAGGAUCCCAGCAGGGACCGAUACAGAGAGGAGGACACCUCGGAAGUCAAUGACAUCAUCACCACCUUUGAUAGCAUCGUGGGU